GGAUUUACAGGUAUAAUCUCCUUGCAGAGGUCACAAGAGCCUAAGAAGGACCUUUCGGGCAGUUGCUGUGGGGUGGCUGGCUAACUUCACGCCAGGGUCAGGGUCGGGGUGAAGGUGCCGACGUUCCCAAGAGAUUGGAGUGCGAGGAGGGGAAGUGAAAGGAUACAAAGUAAAGUCAGCAAAGAAGAAAGGCUUUGGGGCAAAGCCAGGAGAAACCACAAGCUUCCAGGUGAACCCUCCCAGUGGAGUUGCAUGAGGACUCACUUCAUUCACCCAGCAACAGUGUGUGACAACACAUGGUGGUGUUGCCAGUUGGAGAAGCUCACCCAAGCCUUGGUGUCCAAAGCUCUUAAUGAGGAGUCAGUCAUGAAGACAUGCAAAGCCUGUGUAACUGGCCUCAGCUGCCCCAAUAACUCCUUCUCCCCCUACCCCCAGAGCAAAACUAAGAGUUCAUCAUAAGUCAUUUUAUUAGGGUAAACUUACCUGGUCAAACUGAUACAGCCUCUCCCAAGGACCCAGGCAUACAAAAACACUCAUCAGUCAGAAUAUUCCAAGGGCCCCCAAAACUCAAGCACCUGCACCUCUUCUCUGCCUUCACACAGCUGGAACCAAUUUUCUCACCUUUAAAAAGAGCCAUAGGUACCUAGGAUCUACCUCCACGCUGGGAUGGCCCUUGCCUAAGCCUGACAGUGCAGGAGCGAGAGAGUGAGGCAUUUUUGCCUUGCGUGUAGACAACGUUGAGGUGUAGCUUGUACUCCAGAGUUUCCUUGUAGGAUGGUGUUGACUCUAACCUCUAUGAGACUUUGCCUGAAAUCACUCUCUUGCUUGACUUCCUUUUUUUUCUUGUCCUCCUACACCCACUCCUUUACUUGUCUCCCUAGCAGCAUUUCAGUGAUGUGCUGACACUGGCCAGUUCCAAGAGUUGAUUGUUAGCAACUCUUCCCAACUCCAUGUUCAGAGAUAUCCUGUUGGUAGCUUUAAAGUGGUCAUGGUGGAAGUACUCACUAUAGAGUAUUUGUGGAAAUUGUUGAAUGCUUGAUUUAUUUGUCAAGCUUAUUUAUUUUCUUUCCAUAGAGCCAGUUGUUACUCAUUUACUAUCACACCAUUGGGCAUUUUCUUAAUAAAUCACUUGAAUAUGAA